UACGGGGGGGGCAAGCGUUGCUCGGAAUUACUGGGCGUAAAGGGCGCGUAGGCGGUUCGCUAAGUUGGAUGUGAAAACUCUGGGCUCAACCCAGAGCCUGCAUCCAAAACUGGCGGGCUAGAGUUCUGGAGGGGGUAGCGGAAUUCCUGGUGUAGCGGUGAAAUGCGUAGAUAUCAGGAGGAACACCGGUGGCGAAGGCGGCUACCUGGACAGAAACUGACGCUGAGGCGCGAAAGCUAGGGGAGCAAACAGG
rnacentral:rRNA from 1 species